GGAGAGAUGGCAGAGCGGUUGAAUGCGGCGGUCUUGAAAACCGUUAAGGGGUAAUCCCCCUUCCAGGGUUCGAAUCCCUGUCUCUCCGCCA
rnacentral:tRNA from 1 species